rnacentral:rRNA from 1 species
AAAACAUUUCUAUUAAAUAUAAUUAAUAGUAAGAUCUGCUCAAUGAAAAAUUCAAUAGCCGCAAUCGUGCUAAGGUAGUAUAAUAAUUUGUCUUUUAAUUAAAGACCAAACGAAAGAUUUAACUUUUAUAUUAAUUUCAAUAUACAAUAUACUUAAAUUAUUCUAAUUAUAAUAAAAUAAUUAUUAAAAAAGAAGACGACAAGACCCUAUCGAACUUAACUUAAAGUUUAACUGGGGUAGUUAAUAAAUUAUCAAUUUUAACUUUUUUAAAAAAUAAAAAUGAUCUAAUAUAAUUAACCAUAUAAUUAAGUUACCGUAGGGAUAACAGCGUAAUUUAAUUUUUAAGAUCUUAUUUCAAAUUAAGUUUACGACCUCGAUGUUGAAUUAAUAAACUGAUUAACGCAAUAGUUAAUUAAGUAAGUCUGUUCGACUUUUAAAUAAUUACAUGAUCUG